UCUGUGUGUUAGGACAGGAAGUCGGUUACACUUCGGCGCUUCAUCUUUCCUGACAUGAGCCAUUGUGCGCCAGGAAUCGGCGGCGCAGUCCUCUGGUGAAAUGAAUUUCUGGAUGAAAUCAGACCCGAAACGCUGAUUAUUUUUCAGCCAACAGGCUCGGGAUUUAAACGAGCAAUGCUCAUUAUUUUCGGAUGGUGCCCUUUUCGGAACGCUGUCUGUCAUUUACGUUUGAAACUCUUCCAGAAGUAAUGAGGAGCAGAAACCCCUCAGUCACGUUUCACACUCGGCCAGACGUACUAAAGAAUGAACUGUUCCAUGAAUUCCGUUUCCAAGGAUCACUAACGACGCUAUCAGCUUUGUAGCUCGGAGAUUCCACCAGGACCAACUGGAACAGGAUCAGCGCUCAAUGUUUCCACAGAUUUAAUACUCUAGCGUCAACUUUCCGAAUCACAGUGGCCUCAAGUGAGGCGCAGGACUCAUUAUUAUUAGAGGCACAGAAUUAUUAUUGAGUUCUCCCAGCUGAAGAGGGAAUGUGAGAGGCAGUUGGCUGAAAGGAUGGGACAAGCCGCAGGGAAGCGGGCCUUAUGCUAACAUCGACGCAGCUGAUGGGCCGAAUGACUGCUUAAUGAUCCUCAACUCCCGUGAUUUUAUUCUAGGUUGGGCAAUACCAGUACUGAUGGAAAUCAUUCACUUUUACAUCACGAAGAGUUUGUAAUAGAAGCCUCUGAAAAUG